UACGAAGGGGGCUAGCGUUGCUCGGAAUUACUGGGCGUAAAGCGCACGUAGGCGGCUUCUUAAGUCGGUGGUGAAAUCCUGGAGCUCAACUCCAGAACUGCCUUCGAUACUGGGAGCUCGAGUCCGGGAGAGGUGAGUGGAACUGCGAGUGUAGAGGUGAAAUUCGUAGAUAUUCGCAAGAACACCAGUGGCGAAGGCGGCUCACUGGCCCGGUACUGACGGCUGAGGCACGAAAGCGUGGGGAGCAAACAGG
rnacentral:rRNA from 1 species